GGCAACCAAGAGUGGGAUGCAAGCCGUGAGCGCAGUGAAAAUGCUAAUGAGGAUAUCUUGAUUUUCUUUUUUCAGCUUGACUUAGCAACUCGAGUUCAGUACGCUCUGAAUAUGGAGCAGUAUGACAUUGCACAACAACUUAGAAACAAGCUUACCGAGGUUGAAGAAGAGGUUAUUCGACAACAGGAAGCAACAAGGGGAUCAUCCUCAAAGAGUGAAGCUCAAGAUAAGGCUUUAAGUAUCAUACGAC
rnacentral:misc_RNA from 1 species